UGCCUUGGGCUACACACACGCUACAAUGGGUGGUACAAUGGGUUGCAAUGGAGCGAUUCGGAGCUAAUCCCCAAAACCAUCCUCAGUUCAGAUUGCAGGCUGAAACCCGCCUGCAUGAAGUCGGAGUUGCUAGUAACCGCAAAUCAGCAUGUUGCGGUGAAUACGUUCUCGGGCCUU
rnacentral:rRNA from 1 species